UGACGAAAUGAUCCCAGGGAGACACAAGAG
rnacentral:piRNA from 1 species